AGUUCUCACUUUUCUGGGAGAGGCAAUGAAUCAGGAAAUCCAGAAUCUGACGGUGAGGCCUGGAGGCUCGGUCACUCUACAGACGGGACUCAGCGGGCUGAAUGGUGAGCAUAUCCUCUGGAUGUAUGGUUCUGACCAAACACUCCUCCUCUGUGAUGGGGGAGAAAUCACCACAGUUGCAGAGGAAUAUGCUGGACGUCUCCAGCUUAACCAGUCGUCUGGCUGCCUUACUAUUUCCAACAUCAGGAAGAGCGCCGUUUACAGAGGGGAGAUGUUAAAAGAAAACAAAAAGCUCAUGUUUGAUUAUAACGUGACUGUUGUGGAGGCUGGAGCUCCCUUUAACUCUGCUGCUGACCCCGGGAGCCUCUGGGGGCUCGUCGUAGCUGCCGCUGUCUGCUGUGUGCUGGUCGGCAGCUGAAGUGACCUCUGAUGUCUGCAAACCUCUGGGCCAAAGAUCACCUCAGCCUCCCUCACAUCUCACCAAAGUCCUGCUGAGGCCAGAUGAAGGAGCCAAUAAGGAGAAAUGUGUUUGUACUCCGCAGUUCAAAUCAUUCCCACGUUUGACUGACGGUGCUGAUAUGCUACUGACCAUGACACUAGCAAAUGAACGUAUGUGAUAUUAUUGGAUUUAUUUAAAAAAACAUUUCUCACUGAAUGCAGUGAGUUUGUGCAGAGUUGGUGAAAUGUUCUGAUCUGAGCUUUAAACUCAUCAGCUUUCAUAUGGAGUGUGCACACCUGUCUGAAGGUACACAGGUGGAGAAAUGUUGUCUUCUUCAAUCCAGUCACAAUGGUAGCAAUAAAUUUUAUGCAAUCUUUCAUAAA